CCGAGCUCCUCGCUCCCUCCACUCCCUCCACACCGCCUCCUCCCAUCUCUUGACGAGGCAGCUCCCAAGCGAGGAUCCAGCGCCUCCCUACACUGCGGCUGUCCAUCCCUCCUCAUCCUGGAUCCUGCAGGGCCGAGGUGUAAGGGUGCGGAGGCAAGCUUUUCCGGCGGCGGGGGCGACCUACAGGCAAAGGGCGACCGGCGGCGCUCGAUUCGAUCUGCGGGAGAUAAUAUGAGAGGGAGGGAGAGAAGGGAGGAGAUGAGGGAGAAAGAGAGAGGAAAGAGGAGAGGGACGUGCAGGGGCGGACGGGAGAGGGUCACCGGAAGGAGCGCCCCGGCUCGUCGUUCACACCGCCCUGGAGGAAGAGGAGAGGGAGGUGCAGCAGUGGAUGGGAGAGGGCCACUGGAAGGAGCGUGGCCGGCGUCGUUCGCACCACGCGUGAGCAGAGAUGCCUCUAUACAGCCCUCAUGCCCGCAGAGUACACAAGUGGUUGCCCCUGAGGUCUCCUCCUUGUCCGGCUUGUUCAUUAAGGUCGGCAGGGGGAAGGUCCAGGGUGAGACCUUCAAGAUGGAUUUGAUGUUGCUAUUAUUUCAGUUUGUGGAAAGGGGAUGUGAUUCCAGCAAGACAGAGACGACGGCAAUGACAAGUGAGAUUUCUGUUAAGGAGUAUUAGUAGAUGUUCACAUGAUCGCUGGAAGCAUAUAAAGGUAUCCACAGUGAUGGUUGCUUUCUUAUCGACACAUAAUUUAUUUAUAAUUAUUGAUAGUGUACCUUUGUGAUCGUAGCUGCAAUCCAUCUCAAUGUGUAGUUUCUGAACGUCCAUGUCCAUCGCCAGCUUAACAGCCUGUCAGAGCAACUCAGCCACUUCAGGGCUACAAACCUGAUUGAACACAUGACACGCAUCUCCUUUGAAAGCUCCAUCUUGAUCUCUAAACACUACACCACCACCAGCUAUACUUCCCGACUUUGAGCUCGCACCACCACUCCACCAGCAGUGAAAUGAACCUUGAUUUGAACCGUUCCAGUUUGUCUCUGGUUGUACUCUAUUUGGAUCCAAAUAGAGUAAGAAGGAAAAGGAAAUGCAUUGCGAGUGAGCAGGGCAAGAUUUUGUUCGGCAAGGGCAUUAACUGUAGGUAAGCGGAUGCAGUGAGCCAGUGACCAGAGAGUCUCGUGAUCAGACUGUGGGUGGUUAUUGUUGCAUUAUUCAUAUCUCCCCUGUUUUGAGUAUAACCCAGUAGCUGAAAGUUUAUGUAUAGUCAAAUGUAAUUGACUAACUAGAGAGUUCAUGUAUCUACAUGAAAAUAAGUUAAUACAAAUGAAAAGUUGUUGAAUGCAUUUAUCUUCGUUCAAUGUGUGCCCCAUAGUUAAUUCAAGUUCUUACAUUAGAAAGAAAAUGGACAACCAUUCUCAAAUGCUGACACUUCUUAGAACUUCUCUUUUCAUAACUGCAACUUCUGUACUUCGUGAGCAUGUAGUGCAGUGCCAAAUAUUUGGGAUGUCGCGUAUACAUAGAUUAUAUUGCAUGGCUUUUUGAUACUAAAUGGCACAAUGUUUCUUUGUUCCCUAAUUUCCCUCCUACUUUUUCUUCAGUUUCCAAAUACACUUUCAACUACUAAUUAUUUCAGUUUAUUCUGGACAUGCAAUUUGAUGCAACAUAGUUCUCAUGAUACCAGUAAUCUUCAAUAGACAAAGGAAUUUGUGCAAAAUGGAGAAAAUAAAUAAGCCAAUCUUUUACCCUAUACAUAUACAAUAUUUAAUGAUGUGGUUAGUAAGGCCUUCCUUUGGUGGCUAAUUUUUUUAUUGUUAUGCUUGAAACAAUUUUUUAAACUGAUAAUGAUCUAGAAUAAAAUAGACCAAUGAUAUUCAAACCGACGAGGAGGCUGGGGCACGUCUUCUGACCUGUAGCAGACUGUACAGGCAGCGGGGCGCCGGUCUCGCUAUUGGUCUAGACCAUGGGCGCAGCUUGGUCGAGCUACAGCGAGUGCAUCUGAUUCCAACACAUCAAGGUUGAUGAUACAGAGGUUAUCGACGUCUCCUGCAAACUGAAUUAAUUCCUUUGUGCUUGAGUACCAUGGAGAUGGGCAGUGAGCUAUCAGAAAACAUAUGUAGCUAACCAUGUCAAUCAUCAUCUAAAUAUUAUCACGAUCUUCCUUUUUUUGUUUAGCCUAGCAAAGGUCAAAUUACUUCUUCUUUUCAAAAGGUAAAUUUUGUUGUCUGAAGUUUGUUUGGAACAAUAUAUACUAACCGUCAGUUCACAUGUUCUUGAUUAUCUAUAGCCUACUCUGCCACGCAAUGCUCCGGCUAAUUUUUUCCUCAUGUUGUCGUUUGCUCAUUGUUAUCUUGGCUGUGGUUCUUCCUUCUGGUAAUGCACUGCUCCUUAGCUUCUUUCGUUGCAUUUCUUAUGAGUCCUGCGUUUUGCGUAUGUUGCUGCCUUUGAAAUUGAUAGUAUGUGCUUUCUUUUGCUUGGUAUAAUUUGGUGGGUGUAUUUUCUGGUGCUAGGCCUACUUUUGUGUAGUUUAGCCGUCUACAUAUACCAUGGGUUGUGCGCUUGCGUGCUGACGAUGAUGUUAGCAUGGUUUAUUUUCUAUUCUUUCUGCUAGAUUAACUUACAAUCAGAUUGCAUGUUGUAGUGGAGCUAAAAAUACAGUGGCUGGCUGUGUCUCUUAGUUUGGCAGAAAGCACAACAUGUCAAGUUGAUCGAUGGCCAUCUUCCUCAGUUUCUGCAUAUUUAUUAUUGGGAAGAGAACCAGGCUACUAAUCGAUUAAUAAAAGUUUAUAGCUCUGUUCUCCUUCCAUUCAUUUCUUCAGUAUUAUUCUCUUAGAUUAAAGGUAUUAUUGUGAUGUCGUCCUAUUGUUAUGUAUGUAUUGGAUGACCAUUCAGACAUGUUUUAAUGCGUUGAUAGAUAGAUGCGCUUUAUGUCUGCAUUGUUGUGCCUGUGUUCUUACGUUUUUGUCUGUGUUUUGCAGGUUAGACGAACUGCUAUGUUCCUAGACCUGCAGCUCAUUUCUGCUCCUCAAGAGCUGGUGUCCACGCCUUCAUCUUAGCUGGUGUCCACGUGUUCAUCAGAGCUCGUGUCCACGGCUUCAGCAGAGCUACUGUCCACACUUUCGUCAGAGCUAAAACAACAUAGACUAAUCAAGUCACAUUACUGUGACGACGUGUAAAUCUGCCCGAGGUUUUGAAUGGUACUCCUUCCAUCCGAAAAUACUUGUCAUCAAAAUGGAUAAAAGAGGAUGUAUCUAGACAUGUUUUAGUUCUAGAUACAUCUCUUUUUGUCCAUUUUGAUGACAAGUAUUUCCGGACGGAGGGAGUACUUUACACCACCAAAUUAGAUUGUGUGUAUAUAUAUAUCUCAUUGUACACGGCUAAACACCUUUUUUUUACUAAAGGAGAUUAUGUUUGCUAUUAUAUGUACUUGGCUACUUGCCCACAAGAGGUCUUUUAUCAUCGGGGCUUGUUACAGUCAUGAUCAGUUGAUGCUUUUAAAAUAUUUCUAUACAAGUAUCUAUAAAAAAUUGUAAAAGGAAUUGUUGAAUAUAUUUAAUUUUUGUAAUCAUGUAGGUCAUCUUGUGGUCUGUGGACAUUUAAUUUUAUGGAGUAUCUCAUAGGAGGUUUGACCUCUCAAAGGUGUAUGACAGAGUGGACUGGGGGUUCUUGAAGCAGGCGAUGGAAAAGUUUGGCUUCUCUCAUCAUUGGGUAUAAUGGAUAAUGACAUGUGUAACCUCGGUGAGCUAUUCAGUAAAAUUUAAUGGAGCCAUCUUGGAUUCUUUUGCACCGAUGCGAGGGCUUCGGCAAGGUGACCCCCU